CCUACGGGGGGCAGCAGUGAGGAAUAUUGGUCAAUGGGCGCAAGCCUGAACCAGCCAAGUCGCGUGAGGGAUGACGGUCCUAUGGAUGGUAAACCCCUUCUGUCGGGGAGCAAGGCCCGCCACGUGUGGCGGGAAGGAGAGUACCCGAAGAAAAAGCAUCCGCUAACUCCGUGCCAGCAGCCGCGGUAGUACGGAGGAUGGGAGCGUUAGCCGGAUUUAUUGGGUUUAAAGGGUGCGUAGGGGGAAGGUUAAGUCAGCGGUAAAAUGUCGGUGCUCAACACCGGCCUGCCGUUGAAACUGGUCAUCUUGAGUGAGCGAGAGGUAUGCGGAAUGCGUGGUGUAGCGGUGAAAUGCAUAGAUAUCACGAAGAACACCGGUGGCGAAGGCAGCAUACCGGCGCUCAACUGACGCUGAGGCACGAAAGCGUGGGGAGCGAACAGGAUUAGAUACCCUGGUAGUC
rnacentral:rRNA from 1 species